GGAGAGAUGUCCGAGAGGCCGAAGGAGCACGACUGGAAAUCGUGUGUGCGCUAAAACCGUACCGUGGGUUCAAAUCCCACUCUCUCCG
rnacentral:tRNA from 1 species